GCAGGAACUGUCAUCAGGUAUGGCUUGGCUUCUAGCCAAGAGUGUGAGUUCUAGCUUUUUUCCAAUAGAGCUGCUAUAAUGUAUAGAUUGGCUUUAAGGCUUGUUCUGUUUCCUUCUGCAUGUAAACCAUUUCAACAAGAACCAAACACCCCGGCCAAAAAAACCAAAACCCUGAAGCAAAGGAGGUGAAGCAAGAGUACUGAACUGUGCACUUCCAAGGAGGUGAAGCAAGAGUACUGAACUGUGCACUUCCAAGAGUUUGGCUGAGAGAGAAUGACCCAGCUAAACAAUGCAGCAACUUUAUGGCUGGAGAAAAAUUGAACCCAGAUCUGGCGAGUCUAAAGUUGUCUUUUUAACCAAGAAUAAAGACUGGUUGAAAUAAGCAGAGUUGCCUUGAGUUAGGAUGUUGCCAGUCAGUGGAAAAAGCAGCCACCCAUCAGGGCAGUGAAACAGACGGAUGUCAUAUUAUGUCUCCAGCUUCCCACAAAGCAAAAAUUCCCUAGCUUGACGCCUGAGAUAGCAAGCAGAUGCCGGCUGUUCUUUGGACAAUGGGAGAUCAGGGGAGAAGUAAUGGUGUUACAUCCUGAAUACAGACCAGCAUCCAUUCUUAUACGAAAGAAGUGAUCUGAGGGGAAAUUAGCCUGAAGUACUUAAGACUCAUCCAUUCUUCCCCGGAUAUUCCUCGUCUUGUUUACUCAGUUAACAUGAAUCAUACUGUUCUGUACUGUUAUACUGUUUUUAGUAUAAAUUGUUCUAACAUACUAACAAUAAGAAUAUAAUAAUUUAUACUACUUGUAGCAGUGACAGAAGCACUCUAGGAUUCUGAAAUAGAUCUAAGGCUUUGCUGGGAAGUUCCCUGGUGCCAGGAGAUGGAAAGGGAGAAAGGGAGAAUAUUCAUCACGGAGAAAGAGAACAGAAGCCACAGAUUUGCAUACAAUUUGCAAAAGCAAUGUAUAUGUACACAUGCAAAUUAAACACUACAGUGUACAUAGAAAUAAAAUACAUAUCUUCACUCUGAGGAAUUGAUGAGCAUGAGGGUCAUCUUUCUGGAUCAGGCCAAAGCCCAUCUUAAUGCAGUAUUUUUUUGUUGGUGGCUCAGUGGGUAACACUAAGCAUGUCAAUCAGAAAGCU